rnacentral:lncRNA from 1 species
UUGGCCUUCCAGUUCCUGUGAUUGAUGCAGCCUUUGUGCUUGUUGUUGAGCCAGAACUUCUGCUCGGAUGUCCGGCGGAAGGGCUGCCAGGAAUUCUGGAUCAAUAUCUCCAGUAUUUUGCUGUUCAGUGUUUGAAGGCUGUGCCACCUGACCCUGUUGAGCAGAAAGAACUUCGGCUCGCAGCUCCUCAGGCAGAGCAUCCAGGAAAGCAGGAUCAAUGGAUCCAGAAUCAGCAUCGGCAUUGAUUUGCUG